rnacentral:tRNA from 1 species
ACCUGGGUGGCUCAGUCGGUUGAAGCGUCUGACUUCAGCUCAGGUCAUAAUCUCACGGUUCGUGGGUUCGAGCCCCGCGUCGGGCU